UACGUAGGGAGCAAGCGUUGUCCGGAAUCACUGGGCGUAAAGCGUACGUAGGCGGCUUUGUAAGUUAGAGGUGAAAGCCUGAUGCUCAACAUCAGAAUUGCCUUUAAGACUGCAUCGCUUGAAUCGUGGAGAGGUAAGUGGAAUUCCGAGUGUAGAGGUGAAAUUCGUAGAUAUUCGGAAGAACACCAGUGGCGAAGGCGGCUUACUGGACACGUAUUGACGCUGAGGUACGAAAGCGUGGGGAGCAAACAGG
rnacentral:rRNA from 1 species